rnacentral:rRNA from 1 species
GAUGAACGCUGGCGGCGUGCCUAAUACAUGCAAGUCGAGCGAACAGAUGAGGAGCUUGCUCCUCUGACGUUAGCGACGGACGGGUGAGUAACACGUGGAUAACCUACCUAUAAGACUGGGAUAACUUCGGGAAACCGGAGCUAAUACCGGAUAAUAUAUUGAACCGCAUGGUUCAAUAGUGAAAGACGGUUUUGCUGUCACUUAUAGAUGGAUCCGCGCCGCAUUAGCUAGUUGGUAAGGUAACGGCUUACCAAGGCAACGAUGCGUAGCCGACCUGAGAGGGUGAUCGGCCACACUGGAACUGAGACACGGUCCAGACGCCUACGGGAGGCAGCAGUAGGGAAUCUUCCGCAAUGGGCGAAAGCCUGACGGGGCAACGCCGCGUGAGUGAUGAAGGUCUUCGGAGCGUAAAACUCUGUUAUUAGGGAAGAACAAAUGUGUAAGUAACUAUGCACGUCUUGACGGUACCUAAUCAGAAAGCCACGGCUAACUACGUG